rnacentral:rRNA from 1 species
UAGAGUUUGAUCCUGGCUCAGGAUGAACGCUGGCGGCGUGCCUAAUACAUGCAAGUCGAGCGAAUGGAUUAAGAGCUUGCUCUUAUGAAGUUAGCGGCGGACGGGUGAGUAACACGUGGGUAACCUGCCCAUAAGACUGGGAUAACUCCGGGAAACCGGGGCUAAUACCGGAUAACAUUUUGAACUGCAUGGUUCGAAAUUGAAAGGCGGCUUCGGCUGUCACUUAUGGAUGGACCCGCGUCGCAUUAGCUAGUUGGUGAGGUAACGGCUCACCAAGGCAACGAUGCGUAGCCGACCUGAGAGGGUGAUCGGCCACACUGGGACUGAGACACGGCCCAGACUCCUACGGGAGGCAGCAGUAGGGAAUCUUCCGCGAUGGACGAAAGUCUGACGGAGCAACGCCGCGUGAGUGAUGAAGGCUUUCGGGUCGUAAAACUCUGUUGUUAGGGAAGAACAAGUGCUAGUUGAAUAAGCUGGCACCUUGACGGUACCUAACCAGAAAGCCACGGCUAACUACGUGCCAGCAGCCGCGGUA